rnacentral:rRNA from 1 species
GACGAACCGUGCAAACGUUGUUCGGAUUCACUGGGCUUAAAGGGCGCGUAGGCGGGUGGUCAAGUCAGGGGUGAAAUCUUUCAGCUCAACUGGAAAACAGCUUCUGAUACUGGCCAUCUUGAGGGAGGUAGGGGCAUGUGGAACUUCCGGUGGAGCGGUGAAAUGCGUAGAUAUCGGAAGGAACGCCGGUGGCGAAAGCGACGUGCUGGACCUUUUCUGACGCUGAGGCGCGAAAGCCAGGGGAGCAAACGGG